CCGCAUGGUCCUGGGCCGUUGGCGUCGGGAGCCGGAAGUAUGGGCGCUGAGUGGGAGCUGGGGGCCGAGGCUGGCGGGUCGCUGCUGCUGUGCGCCGCGCUGCUGGCGGCGGGGUGCGCCCUGGGCCUGCGCCUGGGCCGCGGGCGGGGGGCGGCGGACCGCGGGGUGCUCAUCUGGCUCUGCUACGACGCGCUGGUGCACUUCGCGCUGGAGAGAGUGGGCAAGACCACCAACCAGGAGAGUGCUGGGGUCCUGGGAUCCACAGAAUGGAAUUUCAAGAACACUGAUAAAUUGCUGUAGCACCAUUAAAAAAAAAAGAAAGAAAGUAAAAGGAAGGCCCUUUUGUCUACUUGUCUUUACUAGGAAACGUUGCAAAUUCCGAUGGCUUGAUUGCUUCUUUAUGGAAAGAAUAUGGCAAAGCUGAUGCAAGAUGGGUUUAUUUCGAUCCAACCAUUGUGUCUGUGGAAAUUCUGACCGUCGCCCUGGAUGGGUCUCUGGCAUUGUUCCUCAUUUAUGCCAUAGUCAAAGAAAAAUAUUACCGGCAUUUCCUGCAGAUCACCCUGUGCGUGUGCGAGUUGUAUGGCUGCUGGAUGACCUUCCUCCCAGAGUGGCUCACCAGAAGCCCCAACCUCAACACCAGCAACUGGCUCUACUGUUGGCUUUACCUGUUUUUCUUUAACGGUGUGUGGGUUCUGAUCCCAGGACUGCUACUGUGGCAGUCAUGGGUAGAACUCAAGAAAAUGCAUCAGAAAGAAAUCAGUUCAGUGAAAAAGUUUCAGUGAACUUUCAAAACCAUAAAUACCAUUAUCUAACUUCAUGAGCCAGAAUGAAUCAAAUCUUUUUGUUUGGCCAAAAUGUAAUACAUUCCAGUCUACACUUUGUUUUUGUAUUGUUGCUCCUGAACAACCUGUUUAAAAUUGGUUUUAAGGCGACCAGUUUUCGAUGUGUUGUUGUUCAAUUAAAUGGUGAUAUAGGGAAAAGAGAACAAAUUUGAAUUUGUAAUAAUAAAAUGUUUAUACAUUU
rnacentral:sRNA from 1 species